UUGAUGUGAUUGACAAAAAAAGAAAAAAAAUCGUAUAAAGUAAUUGUUGCGCAGUUGUUCCGUCCCGGAAUCUCUCCGACCGGGAUAUAAAAUAAAAAAAUUAGCUAUUGUUUUCCGGAUAGGGUGCUAAAUCAGUUCGUUUCCCGCAUGAAGAAACUGCGUAAUGGCAACAUCACCGAAGCAAGCAAUUCCGUUCAAUCAUCAGUCUUCCACGCCGUAGACUGGCCCGUGUCCACCAGCCGGGGCUAUUAAGAAUAUUUCAGAUGGCUGGGGUCAGAAUCAAACUUGCGCUCAUCCCAUUCAAAUUAACAUCCGGACCGAUGGAGCUGAUACCUAAUCCAUGUAGGUGAUGGAGCUUCGAAUGCUGGUUGCUUUUUCGGUUAGCUGUUGCUGCCGGAAGAGCUGUCUCGCUGAUAAAAAAAAUCGAAGACAGUGAGUAUUAUAAAUUAUAUUUGAAUAAAUACUCAAAAUACAAAUAA